rnacentral:rRNA from 1 species
GGCCUUUUGACUAUAAUCUAAGGUCGGACCUGCCCAAUGAGAAUUGAAUGGCCGCGGUAUUUUGACCGUGCUAAGGUAGCAUAAUCAUUAGUUUCUUAAUUAGGAUCUGGAAUGAAAGGUUUGAUGAGAAAACAACUGUCUCUUGGAUUUUUAUAGAAUUUUAUUUUUAAGUAAAAAAGCUUAAAUUUGAUUAAAAGACGAGAAGACCCUGUAGAGUUUAAUAAAUUAAUUUUGUACGUUAAUUUUGUGAUUUAAGAUGAUUUAUAAAAUUUUUUAUUUGAUUGGGGUGAUCGAAAAAUUUAAAUAACUUUUGUUUUUAUUUAACAUAAAUAAAUGGUUUAUUGAUCCAAUGAUUUUGAUUAUAAGAAUAAAUUACCUCAGGGAUAACAGCGUAAUCUUUUUUUAGAGUUCUAAUCGAUAAAAGGGGUUGCGACCUCGAUGUUGGAUUAAAAUUUACUUAAGGUGCAGAAGCUUUAGGGUUAGGUCUGUUCGACCUUUAAAAUUUUACA